AUUGAACGCUGGCGGCAGGCCUAACACAUGCAAGUCGAACGGUAACAGGAAGAAGCUUGCUUCUUUGCUGACGAGUGGCGGACGGGUGAGUAAUGUCUGGGAAACUGCCUGAUGGAGGGGGAUAACUACUGGAAACGGUAGCUAAUACCGCAUAACGUCGCAAGACCAAAGAGGGGGACCUUCGGGCCUCUUGCCAUCGGAUGUGCCCAGAUGGGAUUAGCUAGUAGGUGGGGUAAUGGCUCACCUAGGCGACGAUCCCUAGCUGGUCUGAGAGGAUGACCAGCCACACUGGAACUGAGACACGGUCCAGACUCCUACGGGAGGCAGCAGUGGGGAAUAUUGCACAAAGGGCGCAAGCCUGAUGCAGCCAUGCCGCGUGUAUGAAGAAGGCCUUCGGGUUGUAAAGUACUUUCAGCGGGGAGGAAGGGAGUAAAGUUAAUACCUUUGCUCAUUGACGUUACCCGCAGAAGAAGCACCGGCUAACUCCGUG
rnacentral:rRNA from 1 species